CCUGACCCCCAUAGGAGGUCCAGCCUGCCCAGUGACAAAGUUAAACGGCCGCGGUACCCUAACCGUGCGAAGGUAGCGCAAUCACUUGUUCUUUAAAUGAGGACUAGUAUGAAUGGCAUCACGAGGGUUUCACUGUCUCCCCCUUUUAAUCAAUGAAACUGAUCUUCCCGUGAAGAAGCGGGAAUAAACAUAUAAGACGAGAAGACCCCAUGGAGCUUUAAACCCAGUAUCAACUACACUUACUACACCACACAAGAUUAGUAGACAUGACACCCGGUUUUCGGUUGGGGUGACCACGGAGCAAAACAAAACCUCCAUGAUGAAAGGAAUCUAUUCCUAAUCUAAGAGCCACAGCUCAAAGAAUCAACAAACUGACAUUAAUUGACCCAAAUAUUUUGAUCAACGAAC
rnacentral:rRNA from 1 species